rnacentral:rRNA from 1 species
GUGGGAACGUACCCUUUGGUUCGGAACAACCCAGGGAAACUUGGGCUAAUACCGGAUAAGCCCUUACGGGGAAAGAUUUAUCGCCGAAGGAUCGGCCCGCGUCUGAUUAGCUAGUUGGUGGGGUAAUGGCCCACCAAGGCGACGAUCAGUAGCUGGUCUGAGAGGAUGAUCAGCCUCACUGGGACUGAGACACGGCCCAGACUCCUACGGGAGGCAGCAGUGGGGAAUAUUGGACAAUGGGCGCAAGCCUGAUCCAGCCAUGCCGCGUGGGUGAUGAAGGCCCUAGGGUUGUAAAGCCCUUUCGGCGGGGAAGAUAAUGACGGUACCCGCAGAAGAAGCCCCGGCUAACUUCGUGCCAGCAGCCGCGGUAAUACGAAGGGGGCUAGCGUUGCUCGGAAUCACUGGGCGUAAAGCGCACGUAGGCGGAUUGUUAAGUCAGGGGUGAAAUCCUGGAGCUCAACUCCAGAACUGCCUUUGAUACUGGCGAUCUCGAGUCCGGGAGAGGUGAGUGGAACU